UUUUUAAAUUGUCCUAAUGUCAUCUGUCUCUGAUAGCAGUGUCUGCCUGUGUUUUGCAUUCAGAUCUCGCUAUCCACACAAACAUCAUGCAGCCAAAGAAUAAGUUGGGAUCAUAGUACUGGUCUAGUUUUGUCUCUUUCGACCUAUCUACCACUGGCCAGCCUCCAAAUUCCCACACACAG
rnacentral:snoRNA from 1 species